CCUACGGGUGGCUGCAGUAGGGAAUCUUCGGCAAUGGGGGCAACCCUGACCGAGCAACGCCGCGUGAGUGAAGAAGGUUUUCGGAUCGUAAAACUCUGUUGUUAGAGAAGAACGUUAAGUAGAGUGGAAAAUUACUUAAGUGACGGUAUCUAACCAGAAAGGGACGGCUAACUACGUGCCAGCAGCCGCGGUAAUACGUAGGUCCCAAGCGUAGUCCGGAUUUAUUGGGCGAAAAGCGAGCGCAGGUGGUUGCUUCAUUCGGAUGGAAAAGGCAGUGGCUCAACCAUUAUGUGCAUUGGAAACGGGGAGACUUGAGUGCAGGAGAGGAGGGUGGAAUUCCAGGUGUAGCGGUGAAAUGCGUAGAUAUAUGGAGGAACACCGGAGGCGAAAGCGGCUCUCUGGCCUGUAACUGACACUGAGGCUCGAAAGCGUGGGGAGCAAACAGGAUUAGAUACCCUAGUAGUC
rnacentral:rRNA from 1 species